CCCAAAGCCAAGGAAGAGGUCAAAAUUAUUGAGCACCAAACACAGACCCUGCGGCUGAUGCCUCAUUUGGCCACGGCCUUGGCCCUGACCUUCGCCAGCAGGUACGCAGGCGUCCUUCUGGACGAAGGCAUCUCCCAAGGGAAGGAGCUUGUCAACAGUCGCCCGCUGCAGGCGCUGGUGGCAGGGCUGAAGGCCUACAGUACCUGGGAGAACAUCAGCUGCCUACAGGACUGCCGAGAAUGCACCGGAGGCAUGGGUUACAUUAUGGAAAACCGAAUCUCAGGCUUAAAAUAUGACACAGAUGUGUUUGUAACUUUUGAAGGUGACAAUGUCGUAAUGCUGCAGGUUGUGGUUCGGGAACUCCUGGCUCAGUACACCAAGCAGCAUGAAGAAAGACCCAUCUUCUGCCUGCUCCAAAACUUGGCAGAAUCGAGGGUGACAAGCUGAGGACCAGGUGACGACCGAGAAGGAGGACUUCUUCCAUGCCUGGAACCCGUGUCUUGACCACGUCACCGGCCUGUCUCUGGCACACAUUCACAGAGGUGAAAAUGAUUCUUUGUCCAAGAGAGCAGCCAAAAUGACUUGUAGUCCAGAUGGCAUCAAACCUCUUCUUCCUGAGAUCUGGAGGAUAAAAGUGCAGAAACCAAAAGAGUAAGUUAGCCAACGUGGCAGAAAAAAAUGGCUUUUUAAAAUAUUCAAAAUAGGUAUAGAGAUGUAGAGAUGUAGAUGUAGAGAACAGA